UACAGAGGGUGCGAGCGUUAAUCGGAGUUACUGGGCGUAAAGGGCGCGUAGGCGGUGAGAUGAGUGGAAUGUGAAAGCCCCGGGCUUAACCUGGGAAGGGCAUACCAAACGAUCUGACUGGAGUAGAGGAGAGGGUGGCGGAAUUUCCGGUGUAGCGGUGAAAUGCGUAGAGAUCGGAAGGAACGUCGAUGGCGAAGGCAGCCACCUGGCCUCAUACUGACGCUGAGGCGCGAAAGCGUGGGGAGCAAACAGG
rnacentral:rRNA from 1 species